GGCUAACGCUGGCGGCGUGUCUUAGCCAUGCAAGUCGAGCGGACUUAUGGGGUAACUUAUAAGUCAGCGGCGGACGGCGGAGUAACACGUAGCUAACCUACCCUCUGGACGGGGGAUAACCUACCGAAAGGUGGGCUAAUACCCGAUGUAGUCAUCCUGUAUAGGGGUGAUGAAAGGUGGGCUUCUGUUUACAAGCUCAUGCUGGAGGAGGGGGCUGGCGGCCUAUCAGGUAGUUGGUAGGGUAAUAGCCUACCAAGCCGAUGACGGGUAGCCGGCCUGAGAGGGUGACCGGCCCGAGGGGCACUGAGAUACGGGUCCCACUCCUACGGGAGGCAGCAGGCUAGAAAUUUGGGCAAUGGGGGAAACCCUGACCCAGUGACGCCGCGUGCAGGAAGGAGCCCUUCGGGGUGUAAACUGCUGUCGUGUAGGGAGAAGGGUACUAAGGUGAACAAUCUUAGUACUUGACGGUACUACAGGAGGAAGCCCAGGCUAACCUCGUG
rnacentral:rRNA from 1 species